CAGCUGGGAUGGGUCAUUCAGUCCUUUGUUCAGAGCUUCAGUUUAUAGCAAGGUUCCUCCAGAAGUAAGAAGCAUGACUGAAGACAAAAUGGAGGGGUUUCCAGGGCCUUUUAUACUCUUUUUCUUGUGGGCGGAAACCCUUUGAUUCUCCUGUGCAAAAUCACAGCAACAAGAUGGAGUUUGGAGUCACAUGGGCAAGUCACAUGUCCAUGCAUGACUCAGUUCUUUACACGCCGAUGCCAUUGUUUGCCUGUUAGUUUGAAAGUUCCCAGGAAAGCUCAAUAGUGGAUUUGCAU